UGCUUAGAAACGUCCUUUAUUCUUCCCUGGAAUUUUCACCUGUUUUUCUCAAUCUUCACUCUCAUAUACUUAUUGUUUCUAGUUUCUUUCUGGCGUGUUGAGCGAUCAAUUUUCUGAUUUUGAACACUACAUCCACAUAUAUAUUUUUCUUCUCAAACAUCGUCAUGUUGUCAUUACCUUCAACUCCCUCAUACAUAUCUAGAAAGAAAUAUGAUGUUUUCUUGAGUUUUAGAGGUGAAGAUACCCGCACCAACUUUACCGAUCAUCUCUAUGAUGCUUUAAGUAGGAGUGGGAUCGUCACUUUCAGGGAUGAUCCAAAGCUGGAGGCCGGGGAAGAGAUCGCGCCAGAACUCUUUAAAGCAAUUCAGCAAUCAUGGUGCUCGGUAAUCGUUUUUUCACAAACUUAUGCCUUUUCAAGUUGGUGCUUGGAGGAGCUUGCUGAGAUUGUUAAACAACAUAAUAACGACGGCCAUAAAGUGUUUCCAAUUUUUUACGAUGUUGAUCCAUCUGAUUUAAGAAAACAAAAAGAGAAAGUGGAAGAAGCCUUUGCUAGACAUGAAGAGAGAUACGGAGAAGAUAGUGAGAAGAUCCAAAGGUGGCGAAAUGCUUUAAUUCAAGUGGCUGGAAUCAAGGGAUGGCAUUUAAAUAACAGGUAACUCUUUCUUUUCUUCUCUAUUUUCUAUUUUUUGGGAUAUAUAUGUAUAACUUUUUUCUUUCUUUCUAAUCCUAUGUGUUUCCAGUCUUGGUUCUUGUUUGCUUCCAAACUCUAUUAUGUUUCAUGAUUCAUUGAAAAAGAAAGUGCAUUUGAUAAUAUGAAAAAAAAAAUUAUUCAAAAAAUUAAAAUUUCUUUUCUUGUAGGCAUGAAUCGGAAUUUAUUAGAGAGAUUAUUAAGAAGAUAUCAGCAAAACUAUGUCACCUAGUUACUCAUAGUCACUUGGUUGGAAUGACUGAACGCUUGGAGGAUUUAUAUUUGAAAAUAAACAUUGGGGAAAAUGAUGUCCACAUUAUAGGGAUUUGCGGAAUGGGUGGUAUCGGUAAAACCACACUCGCAAGACUUGCUUAUAAUCAAAUGUCACAUCAUUUUGAAAGUAAAAGCUUUAUUGCUGAUGUUCGAGAAGUUUCAGACAAAUGUGGAUUAGUUUCUUUACAGAAACAACUUCUUUCGGAGAUUUUUCAUGAUGAAUGCUUCAAAUUUUUCAAUGUUCAUGAAGGGAAUGAUAUAAUUAGUCAUAUGUUGUCUCGCAAAAAGGUUCUUGUUGUUCUUGAUGAUGUUGAUAACAUUCAACACUUAAAAUGCUUGGUUGGAAGGCAUGAUUGGUUCGGAUUAGGGAGUAGAAUCAUUGUAACAACAAGAGAAGAACAUUUGCUUCGAUCUUGGCCAGUUGAUGAUUUGUAUGAGCCCACAACAUUGAAUCCCAAAGAUGCGCUUCAACUUUUCAGUCUGAAAGCUUUUCAUAGUGAUACAGUGCCGAAAGGUGAUUUCAUUGAGCUUUCUUGCCAUGUUGUAAAAUAUGCUGGUGGGCUCCCGUUAGCUCUUGAAAUUUUGGGUUGCUUUUUAUGCGGUAGAGAUGCGACUCAAUGGAGAAGUGCAAUUGAAAGACUUAAAAGAGAUUCUAAUAAAGAAAUUCUCGAUAAACUUCGAAUUAGUUUUGAUGGACUGGAAGAAAGGGAGAAGAAUAUAUUUCUAGAUAUAGCAUGCUUCUUCAAUGGGAAGGAGAAAGAUUUUGUAAUGAAAGUAUUGGAUGGUUGUGAGUUUUUCCCAAAUAUUGGCAUUGAUGUUCUCAUUAAAAAAUCUCUUAUAAAAGUUCUCAUUAAAAAAUCUCUCAUAGAAGUCGAUGAACACAAAUAUUUGUGGAUGCAUAACUUGUUGCAAGAAAUGGGAAGAAAAAUUGUUAGAGAAAAAUGUGUUGAUGAACCUGGAAAACGUUGUAGAUUGUGGGAGGGAAGAGACGUCCAUCAUGUCCUAACAAAAAACACUGUAAUUUUGAGAUAAGUCAUGUUUGAUGUUUACAAAUAUUAAAAAGGAUUUGUAGAAAUUUCAUUGCAUUACCCUUUUUAGAGCAUAAUAUUUGUAGAAAUUGUUUUACUACGUUUAAAAUGCUUUAUUUAUUAUAUUUAGAAUAUAAUAAUGCUGAAUAAAAAUGUAAGUUUCUAAAAGUUUUAUCCUACAUUAUACACCAUUUAUUUUGUUUUCUUAUUUUCUAUUCUUGAUUUUUCUUAGGGUACAAAAAUGAUUGAAGGUAUAGUCAUCGAUAAUAUAAGGUAAGAAGACACAUCAACUUAUAUUUAUGUGUACCGUAAAUAAUAAUUUUAUUUUUUUUAAAUAUGAUAAGAAAUUAUAGUAAAACCUUUGACACUCAAUAUUUCAAUGUUUAAUUAUGAAAUUAAUCUAGUAGCGUAUUACUCUUUCAAAAGAAUCAAUAGAGAAAUGUAUGUCUUUUUGAAAUAUUAAUAGUAUAUCAAUGAAUUAGAUUAUAACAUAACUUUUAGAUAUUGAAUGUUUUUGUAUAUUGUGAAGCUUAUUUUCAUUUUGUUUUAUUCAUGAUUAUUAGGGAAUCGAGUAAGAUGCUCAACUUGAGUGUCGAUGCCUUCUCAGAAAUGAAAAAAUUGAGAUUGCUCAAAGUGCUUUGCCUAUCAAAUUGUGAUGAUCUCAAAUUUCUUUCUAAUGAGUUACGGCUUUUAGAUUGGAAAUGAUGCCCUGUAAGAUCGUUGCCUUCAAGCUUCCAACCGGAAAACCUUGUUGCACUUCUUUUACCAUAUAGUCGCAUUCAACAACUAUGGAAGGGAAAUAGAGUAAGAAUUAACUCAUCUCAUCCUUAUAUUUUAGCUUAUUUUAAUAUAAAUGAUUAAACUUUGAUUAAGGUAAAAAAACAAAAAUAAGCAUUAUUAUGUUUUCUCAUUUGUUUCUAAUUUAUUCUGAUCUUCAACAGCCCUUGUGUAAGUUGAAAAUGAUGCAAUAUGAUUAAAUCUCUACUUGCUGCCUAUGGCAUGAGCAUCAAUGGUGGAACCUAAACAAUUAAGCUGAAUGAUGUUCACCACUGAUCCUAUGAAUCAAAACCAGCCAAUAACAAGUCAACUGUCAAAAAGAAUUCAAGUAUGAAUCUUAAUCUCUCCUCACUACAAUGCUCAAACCACAUGAGAGCAGUAACAUACAAAGAAAUUUCGGCCCAAACUGAUAUGAUAAUCAAAAUCCAAGAUAAGAAAAUAUCAACUCCAAUAGCUCUACCAUGAAACUAACCCAAUCUAGCUUGAGAAUGAAAACUGUCAAAGGUUGCCUCCAGCUCCAUGUGUUUAUCCCACAAGUUUUGAGAUCUGUUGCAAAUUCUGGAUUUAUAUAAUCCCAUUGAUAAAUAUGGGAAAAAUGGUGAGGAUGCUGAAAAUCAUUAUAUGAACCUAAAAUCAUGAUAAUAAGUCAAAGUCAAAAGUAACUUACUUCUCCACCAAAACUGAAUUGCCAGAACCCAAAAAGGGGCUCAAAAGAUUACUUUGACUUUGUGUUGACAAAUCUGUUGACAACUUGCAUUGUCACCAAGUAUCAGUUCAAACACUAGUAUAAAGCAAGCAUUCAGUAAAUAAAAUUGAAGGUCUUACAGCUCAGGUGUUCCUCCUUGUAUGGCUAAAGCUCCAAUUCAGCAGUGGCAUUCCCAAAGAUUAGUCAUUCCCUAAUCAUACAUCAACACAGAAGUAAAGGAUAUAAGAAAAAACAAUCUCACAAAUAACCAAUCUUUCUAAUGAAUCAAGAUAUAAUUGAAGGAAAAUGCAGCAAGUAUUGAGAUACCAGAUGAUACCAACGCUGGAACUAAACAAUGAAGCUGAACCGACUCCACCAUUGGUCCUACGAAUUAAAAAAAAACAACCAAUAAGAAGUCAACUGUCAAUAAGAAUUAAGUAUGAAUUUUGGUACCCACCAAAAUCCCCUAUGGAUAUUUUAUCAACUCCAAAGCAGAAUCAUUUUGCUACUGUAUUGAAAUCUCCAGUUACUGUUCAAAUUUCCUCCAAAUUAAUUAAUAUAUAUGGAGAAUUUCCUUCUUGGACAAUAUAUGCUAUAUCUACAACAGAACACAGACACGGCAGGGGAAUGAAGAUGAGAAAAAUAAUAGUAAGCAACAAUCACAACUGUUGAACAAAUUUCCAAUUUUAUGUUUCAUAAAUUAUGCUUUUAACAUUUACAAUGUGGAACUACAAGGUUUCAGUAUGGUAAAGCACCUUCUAGAAGACAAGUAAUUUAUAAAGCAGAGCAAGUUUUAGAUUCAUCCUGGUUGGUUUUAAUUAAUUAAAGCACUUCAUUUUGUGUCACUAAUUUAUAAGUUGAAAAUUUACUAUUAACAAUUGUGGAAAACAGAAGUAUGACAAUAUGAAAAAGAAAUGAAAAAACUGAAAAUUUUAUGAUAAUAUGAAAAAAUGAGAUGAAAAUGAAACCCCUACCUAUGCAUUUGAAUGACAUAAUUGAGAAGUUGAAAGUCCUCAAAAGCAGAGCCCAAGAUGGAAAGAAAUACAAACUAUUUCAAUCUUUUAAGUCCUCCAUCCGCUUCUUCACCAUCAUGGCUAAAGCUUCUUUUGUUCCCAGCAUGUCUCUUUUCGGUAGCAUCUGAAGCAUCUGUAGCAUCUGUAUCACUCUCUGCAUCCACGUAAAAUACAUGAACACCACAUCUCUCCACCUUGAUAUACUCUUUUCCUCCUCUUCUUAAAUCCAAAAGUCUGAUGUAGAAUUUGAAUGAUGCCUCCUCAUAAUUCUGGUCUUCUUUAACCAUGUCGGCGGUAGAUAGAAUAAACACGUGAUAAUCCUUGUACUUCUCUGGCUCAGGAUGGCUCAGGAAACAAUAACAAAGAUAUUUUACUUCUUAGCUUUUCAUAACCACCACCACCACCAUCAUUUCCACCACCGGCGGCUGUAAGUUGGUACUUACAAAUACAUUCAACAUCACUAAUGUAACGGCAGUGAGUGAGAUCAGCCACAAGGCAGAUAACAAAAACCAAAAAUCUGCUCCCGCCACCCCCAUUUGGGGCUGUCUUCAAGCUUAAGGAAGAAUUCAUGCUCUGACACUUGAACUUAUUUGCUGAAAUUUUGUUUCCUGGGAAACAACAAAUCAAACUUGACAAAUCAGGAAUCUUGCCACAGCAAUCAAAUCUCGCUGCCCAUUUCUUAGCUAGGGAUCGAAUUUUGAGCAUGGCAUUUGCCUCAAUGUUAUUAAUUGACUCUUGAUUCAAGUUGAAGCAAUUACGGAAUAGCAUGGUAAACUCAUAAAAACAAGCAUCACCAGCAUCUAAAUAAUCAAACUGAUAUAAAUUUUGAUCUGCAAAGGAAACUUUUUCCAAUGAUGUGCAGUCAAGUACGUUCAACUUGAGCAGAUAUGGUGGAAGCUCUGUGAGUAAUUUGAGGCUCUUGCAACGAUCCAUAUGCAUAUACUUAAGGCUUUUAAACCUCAAGCUUGGUGAGCGCACAUCAACAGUUGGAAAUUUAACGAUUGGACAACCACUAAGAUCUAGAGAAAAAAGGGAUUUCAACUUUGAAAUAUUGCUUGAUACAUCUUUUACCAUUGAGUUUGUCAAGGUCAACCAUUGAAGUCUGUCGAGAUGCUCAAUGAAAUCAGGUACUUCUUUUAUUCCGGUUUCUGAUAAAUCUAACUCAUAAAAUUAAUUUGAGAUCUUUGGAAACUUCUUGAGACUACGACAUCCCUCAAGGCGAAGGGUUUUAAGUGAUGUCAAACGGGCGAGGGAAGGAAGUUUAACCAAACUUUCGCAAUUUUCACAGUCAAGUCUUUCCAGGUUGAGGGCUCCUAAUAAAUUAGGGAUCUUCUUUAAAUUUUUGCAACUGAAAAGGUUAAUUUUCCGUAAAUGAACAAGAUCCUGCACAUGAUGAGAACAUAAAGUAGUUGGAGCAUCAUUUACUUAGACUCUAUCAAAAUAAAAUUUAUAUUUGAUGUAUUGGGUGUAUUAAUUCACCCACCAUCAAUACAUCAAACUGUUUCUUUUAAAAAAUAGAAUAAAAUCUUUUAUAUUUAUUUUUUAAAAAAUUUAAUAAAAAUAUGUUAUUUAAAUGCUAUAUCAAUUACAAUUUUUUUUUCUUAGAAAAGUUCUUCGAUAAAGAAAGUAUAAAAGUAUAUAUACCUGAUGAACUUCGUUCCAAAGUUGUUUCAUGUUUCCAUAUGGUAAUUCCAAUGCAAUAAGGUUCUUUGGAUUAAAACUUGAUGAUAAAGAUUUGAAGGGGUAAUAAUCCCAUCGAAGAUACCUUAGCUCAUCCGGAAGAGAUAUAAUAUCAUCUUGGUCUGUAUGUAGCUUCUUAUAAUCCUCAUGCUCUUUCCUCAACCAACUCGAAGGAAAAUAGAAGAAAAUACAUCUAAGAUUAAUCAUGCUUUCAAAGACAGAAGGUUGGAAUAAUAGGUUACCCAUACGUGACAUGUCUACCUUUAUUCCUUAAAUUCGAUCAGUUCCCUGAUAACAAAAACCAAUUUAUCAAAUAUUAGUAUGGAGAAAUUUAUGAACAUUCCAUUAAAUAACUCAUAAAAAUUAGUGCUUACUUUAUUAUAUUUGAGCACUUCUUCCACGUGUUUAAGAUUCCAUAGUCGACUGCACUUACCAAGGGUUUUAGAUUCUUGACAAACAAUGUCCUUUCCCAUCUCUUCAAGCGUAUCAUGCAUAUAAAUUGUAUCUGGACGUCUGAAACUGCGCAUUGCAGAAUAACCAAAAUAACCAAUGAGACAUUGAUGAGGCAUUUGUCAACCAAUUUGUUUAUUCCACACUCUGCACCCUUAUAACAACCACUUAGAAUAAGUUUUGUUCUUUUUAUGGGUUCCCCUUUAAAGAAGCAUGCAAUGUCAAGAAAUAUAUUCUGCUCUACUAAAUCUAGCCCGUCAUAACUACUUUUCAAAGCCUCUGAAUUUUUUUUUUCUGGGGGACAGUCCUUUAGCUUCUCCACCUUACUUUCCCAAUAAUUUAUACUUCUUUUAUUUAAAUCAGAACCCAAAACUUUAAGAGCAAGUGGAUUGCCUUGAGUGUACUUUACAAACCUACGGGAUAGAUCUUGAAAGCCAACUGCGGGAUUCAACUGCUUAAACGCAAAGUUAGAAAAAAGUUGAAGAGAACAGUUCUCAUUUAACCCUUUCACCUCAUGUAUUGUGUCAGCUCCUCCACUCUCAAGAACUUGUCUAUCUCUUGAUGUUAUAAUGGUUUUACUUCCAUAACCAAAAUGUCUAACACCCAUAUAAUCUAUUUGGUCUGAGUCAUCAACAUCAUCGAGGACAACAAGUACUUUCAUCUUGUUGAGUCUCUCUUGACUUAAAGUGGAUCCAAUGGAGGGGGUGCCUAUAUCCACAUUUGAUUUCAAUAAUUCCGAAAGAAAUUUAUUUCGUAAAGAUCCCUUCCCUUGUUUUUUUAUUUCCUCUCUAACAUUUUCAAGAAAGCAAUGACUUUCAAACUCUGAAGAGAGUUUUUUAUAUACACUUACAUUUAUAUUUUAUUUGUAGGUUGAAGUAAAUAUAAUCAAUAUGAGAUAGAGAUGUGAAGAAAAAUGGAUAGUUUCGUGACAAAGCAGGUAAUAAUAAAGUGAAAAAUCCUUUAACGAGGAUAAGAUCAUAAUUUGGGCUGAGUUAAAAAUUAUUUCAUUUUUAUUUGAGACCAACUCAUGUUUUCAAUUUAAUCAAUCAAAAUUGUUUUUAUAUAUUUGGAAUAUUAAAUAUAAGUCAUUUACAAUACUUUCCUCUAAUAAAAGUACCAUUUACAUUUCAUGGCUUGAAGUACAAAUAAUAUUAUUCCAACUCUUCCAUUAAUAUUUUUUAUAAAGUAUUUUUGUUUAGACAUUUGUUUUUAACACUUACUCAAAUGUGAAUAUAAAUAUUAUGCUCUUUUAAUUAAUUGGAAGAUAUUUUUCGUGUGAGAGACGUCACAUUCAUAUCCAAUAUUUAAAAAAAUAUAUUAAAAGAUUCAUUUUUUGAUCAUUCUAUAUUAGGGGUAGAGAUAUGAUUUUGGUUGACGUGAGCAAGAUUUUCAACGGUUGUGUUUUCUGUGAUAUCAAGAAAAAUUUCUCAAUUUGAGAUAAGUUAAUAUAUGAGCGAUAUAGAUCAAUCUUUUUCUAUGAUAUCAAGAAUAAUUUUUUUAAUAUUACUUUUAAUACUAUAAAAAUAUUGGAGGGGCCUACUUAUAUUUUUAGGAGGGUUAUAAUAUAUAAUAAAGGGGGAAACUACAAAAAUCUUAAGCCUUAUGGGACCUACUUAUAUUUUUGGGAGGGUCAUAGUAUAUUUACAAAGGACUAAAUUUAAAAAAAUUAAAUUAAUUUUUUUAGGGCUAUGGCCCAUGGGCCUCUACAUGGCUCCGUCGUUGCAUCCAUGCAAAAUCGAGAAAGAAAUGAAUAAGAUGAUCUUCUAACUCCCUAUCCCAAGCCCUAACAUAGGCCAGGGCAAAGUCAAGACAUUUUUGAGGGGGUCGAAAUUAAAUUUUAUUUUUUAUGAUAGUAAAAAUGUAAUUUUAUCAUUUUAAUAGUUUGUAUAUUUAUAAUUUUUAAAGGAUUAAAUUAAAUUUUUAUCAUUUUUAGGAGAGCCAAACUGUAAUUUUGUCAUUAUAAAUUUAAAAUUUUAAGGGCCAUAAAUGGAAAUUUUCCAUUUUAGGGGUUGGUGCCAUAUAAAAAGAAAAUAAAAUAUAAAUAAAAAAACAAAAAAACCAUGCGAGGCUUAGUCCUCAUUCAUUCUGUAGGUUAAUCUCUCCUUGCAGGACCUCAGGUCGAAUGAUUUAUUUAACCAUCAAAUUUUAUAAAAAAAUUUAUUUUAGUUAUUUAUUUAAUUUUUUGCUUUUUUAGCUUUUUUUACUUAUGUUUUCUAUCAAAUUAUCCUAAAAUUUAAUAGAAAGGUUAAUUUUUUUUAAUUUUGCUGAUAUAGCAUACAUGUAGAUUAUCAUAUGAAUGGCAUAUCACCAUUUAAUUAAUUUUUUAAAAUUUAAAAAAAUAAAAAAUAUUUAAAAAUUAAUUAAAUACUGACAUGUUAUUCGCAUGGCAAUCUACAUGUAUACUGCAUCAGCAAAAUGAAUAAAUAUUAAUUUUCUUAUUUAUUUUAAAGUGUUUUGACAAAAAAUUUAAAAGAAAACACAAACUUAAGAAAACUUGCAAUUAUUGUAGGCUCCAUUUUAUCAACACCCACCUUGUUGGAUUCAUAUGCAUCACUCAUUUAUGACCAAAUGAAAAGGUUAUAGAGAAAUUGCUUAGAAACCACCUUUAUUCUUCCCUGGAAAUUUGAUCUGUUUCUAGUUUCUUUCAGACGUAUUGAGCGAUCAAUUUUCUGAUUUUCAACACUACAUCCACAUAUUUUUUUCUCUCGCUCAUCUUCAUGUCGUCAUUACCUUCAACUUCUUCCUCCAUUUCUAGAAAGAAAUAUGAUGUUUUCUUGAGUUUUAGAGGUGAAGAUACCCGCACCAACUUUACCGAUCAUCUCUAUGAUGCUUUAAGUAGGAGUGGGAUCGUCACUUUCAGGGAUGAUCCAAAGCUGGAGGCCGGCGAAGAGAUCGCGCCUGAACUCUUUACAGCAAUUCAGCAAUCAUGGUGUUCGGUAAUCGUUUUUUCGCAAACUUAUGCCUUUUCAAGUUGGUGCUUGGAGGAGCUUGCUGAGAUUGUUAAACAACAUAACAACGACGGCCAUAUAGUGUUUCCAAUUUUUUACGAUGUUGAUCCAUCUGAUUUAAGAAAACAAAAAGAGAAAGUGGAAGAAGCCUUUGCUAGACAUGAAGAGAGAUACAAAGAAGAUAGGGAGAAGAUCCAAAGGUGGCGAAAUGCUUUAAUUCAAGUGGCUGGAAUCAAGGGAUGGCAUUUAAAUAACAGGUAACUUUUUUCUUUCUUUCUAAUCCUAUGUGUUUAAUUGAAAAGUGUCUUGGUUCUUGUUUGCUUCCAAAGUAUAUUAUGUUUCAUGAUUCAUUGAAAAAGAAAGUGCAUUUGGUAAUAUGAAAAAAUAAAUUAUUCAAAAAAUUAAAAUUUCUUUUCUUGUAGGCAUGAAUCGGAAUUUAUUAGAGAGGUUAUUAAGAAGAUAUCAGCAAAACUAUGUCACCCAGUUACUCAUAGUCACUUGGUUGGAAUGACUGAAUGCUUGGAGGAUUUAUAUUUGAAAAUAAACAUUGGGGAAAAUGAUGUCCGCAUUAUAGGGAUUUGCGGAAUGGGUGGUAUCGGUAAAACAACACUCGCAAGACUUGCUUAUAAUCAAAUGUCACAUCAUUUUGAAAGUAAAAGCUUUAUUGCUGAUAUUCGAGAAGUUUCAGACAGAUGUGGAUUAGUUUCUUUACAGAAACAACUCCUUUCGGAGAUUUUUCAUGAUGAAUGCUUCAAAUUUUUCAAUGUUCAUGAAGGGAAUGAUAUAAUUAGUCAUAUGUUGUCUCGCAAAAAGGUUCUUAUUGUUCUUGAUGAUGUUGAUAACAUACAACACUUAAAAUGCUUGGUUGGAAGGCAUGAUUGGUUCGGAUUAGGGAGUAGAAUCAUUGUAACAACAAGAGAAGAACAUUUGCUUCGGUCUUGGCCAGUUGAUGAUAUGUAUGAGCCCACAACAUUGAAUCCCAAAGAAGCGCUUCAACUUUUCAGUCUGAAAGCUUUUCAUAGUGAUACAGUGCCGAAAGAUGAUUUCAUUGAGCUUUCUUACCAUGUUGUAAAAUAUGCUGGUGGGCUCCCGUUAGCUCUUGAAAUUUUGGGUUGCUUUUUAUGCGGUAGAGAUGCUACUCAAUGGAGAAGUGCAAUUGAAAGACUUAAAAGAGAUUCUAAUAAAAAAAUUCUCGAUAAACUUCGAAUCAGUUUUGAUGGACUGGAAGAAAGGGAGAAGAAUAUAUUUCUAGAUAUAGCAUGCUUCUUCAAUGGGGAGGAGAAAGAUUUUGUAAUGAAAGUAUUGGAUGGUUGUGAUUUUUUCCCAGAUAUUGGUAUUGAUGUUCUCAUUAAAAAAUCUCUCAUAAAAGUCGAUGAACACAAAUAUUUGUGGAUGCAUAACUUGUUGCAAGAAAUGGGAAGAAAAUUUGUUAGAGAAAAAUGUGUUGAUGAACCUGGAAAACGUUGCAGAUUGUGGGAGGAAAGAGACGUCCAUCAUGUCCUAACAAAAAAUACUGUAAGUCAUUUAACAAAAGUUACAUACUAUUUCUAUUUUGUUAUAUAAUAUCAAAUCAAUAUAUGAUAUAAAUCCAAAGCUUAGUCUAAUUGGUUGGUUGAUACAACUAUUCUUAAAAAGUGAUAUUUAGUAAUUUUGAGAUAAGUCAUGUUUGAUGUUUACAAAUAUUAAAAAGGAUUUGUAGAAAUAAAUAUUUAAUUUCAUUGCAUUACCCUCUUUAGAGCAUAAUAUUUGUAGAAAUUGUUUUACUUCAUUUAAAAUACUUUAUUUAUUAUAUUUAGAAUAUAAUAAUGCUAAAUAAAAAUGUAAGUUUUUAAAAUUUUGUUUUCUUAUUUUCUAUUCUUGAUUUUUCUUAGGGUACAAAAAUGAUUGAAGGUAUAAUCAUUGAUAAUAGAAGGUAAGAAGACACAUAAACUUAUAUUUAUGUGUACUGUAAAUAAUUAUUUUAUUUUUUAAAAUAUGAUAAGAAAUUAUAGCAAAACCUUUUACACUCAAUAUUUCAAUGUUUAAUUAUGAAAUUUAUCUAAUAGCGUAUUACUCUUUCAAAAGAAUCAAUAGAGAAAUGUAUGUCUUUUUGAAAUAUUAAUAGUAUAUCAGUGAAUCAGAUAACUUUUAGAUAUUGAAUGUUUUUGUAUAUUAUGAAGCUCAUUUUCAUUUUGUUUUAUUCUUGAUUAUUAGGGAAUCGAGCAAGAUGCUCAACUUGAGUGUCGAUGCCUUCUCAAAAAUGAAAAAAUUGAGAUUGCUCAAAGUGCUUUGCCUAUCAAAUUGUGAUGAUCUCAAAUUUCUUUCUAAUGAGUUACGGCUUCUAGAUUGGAAAAGAUGCCCUUUAAGAUCGUUGCCUUCAAGCUUCCAACCGGACAACCUUGUUGCACUUCUUUUACCAUAUAGUCGCAUUCAACAACUAUGGAAGGGAAAUAGAGUAAGAAUUAACUCAUCUCAUCCUUGUAUUUUAGCUUAUUUUAAUAUAAAUGAUUAAACUUUGAUUAAGGUAAAAAAAACAAAAAUAAGCAUUAUUAUGUUUUCUCAUUUGUUUCUAAUUUAUUGUGAUCUUCAACAGCCCUUGUGUAAGUUGAAAAUGAUGAACCUUGAAGGGUCCCAAAACCUGAUCAAGACACCAGACUUCACAACGGCAUCAAAUCUUGAAGUUCUAAUAUUGAAAGGUUGUACCAAAUUAGUGGAUGUUCAUCCAUCAAUCGCAGUACUUAAGAGCCUUAAAGUUUUGAAUUUAAGAGAUUGCAAAAGUCUUAGGAGUCUUCCGACCAUAAUUGGAAUGGAAUCUCUUGAAACAUUAAUUCUUUCGGGUUGCUCAAGUCUUGUAAGGUUUCCGGAGAUUGAUGGGAAAAUAGAACGUCUAAAAACUCUAGAUCUUUCCGGUUGUUAUAGAGUUGAAAAAUUAUCGGAGAAUUUGCAGCAUGCAAAGUUUUUGGAAGAGCUCGACUUGAGUGAAACAGCCAUAACAGAACUACCAUCCUUCAUUUUUCAAUUUAAAAAUCUUAAAGUUCUGUCUUUCAAUGGAUUCAAAAGAGUAAGGACAAAUUCCAUCGCUUCGAUGUUACCUUCAUUGUCAGGUUUGAGUUCAUUAAGAAGGCUAAGUCUAAUGGACUGCAAUCUUUGUGAAGGAGAUAUUCCACCUGAUAUUUCUGGUCUAUCCUCUUUGGAAGAACUUAAUCUUAGUGGUAACAAUUUCAUCAGCAUACCUGCAUCUCUUACUCGACUCUCCAAGCUUGAAGAGCUUAUAUUGUCAAAUUGCAACAUGUGUACUCUUGGCGAAGCAGAUAUUCAUGGUCUAUCCUCUUUGAAACGGCUUUUUCUUAACGGUAACAAUUUCAUCACCGUUCCUUUGGCUCUGACUCAACUUUCCGAGCUUAAAUUGCUUGCAUUAUCAAAUUGCAUGAAGCUUAACUCGUUGCCUGAGCUACCAACAAGUAUAGUAGUUGUGAGUAUAGAUAGUUGUUCUUCACUUGAAGUAGUUGCAAGUCCAUCAACAGUAUGCAAUUUAAUGCAUUCGGAUGCCGUUAAAGCCAUUAACUGCUUCAAAUUGGCUGAGAAUAUCAAUGCAUUAACACAGCUGAAAAAACAUCUUAAGGUCGAUUAUCUCUUUUUUCUCUCAUACUUGAGAAUUUAUGGUUUUAGUUACCAGACGACUUGUGUUCUAUUUUGCAGGCAUUUGCAAAUUCAAAAGAAAAGUUUGAUAUUAUUAUGCCCGGAAGUGAAAUCCCAGGAUGGUUUAGCCAACAAAAAGGUGACUUCUUUAUUAAGAUUCCCUUACCUAUCAACCUUCAAGAGGAAUGUGAAUGGAUUGGAGUUGCUUGUUGCUGCAUUUUUGUCAAUAAUGAUGCUUCAAGGGAUGUGGGCUUUAUCGACUGUGGAGCGUUAAUGUAUGGUAGAAAUCGUCGACAGAUUGAGAGGAGAGGCUAUUUGGUGGGUAAACGAUUCGGCAAGCCCAUAAUGAAAGAUCACAUUUUUCUUCGUUAUUGGUCGCGUGAUAAGCUAUAUCCAUUUUCCUUGAAGGAUAAAUAUGGUGGCUGUGAAACUCAUAAUUUACGGACAACAGAUUGCGUAGAUCAUAAACGUGAUGGGCUUCAUGUGUUUUUCAAUGGUCAUAGCCUUAAGGUGAAGAAAUGUGGUGUUAGAAUAGUGUAUGAGAAAGAUUUGGAAGAAAUAGAAGAGUUGCAGUGCCAUAUCACUCAAUCUUCACCAAAUUUUGAACACAUCCACCAACACACUGCUCAAAACAAUGGAUCAAUAGGUAGCACUUCUGACAUAAAACAAAAACGCAAUAUCUCCGAGGAAACGGAGGAAGAAGGGCUGCAACCAAAGCUGAUGCAAAAAAUUUUCAAUUUUAUAAUGGGCCAAUCAAGGAAGAAGCAUUAACUGUGGUAAACUACUUAACCAAUCUUUUAUUUAAAGUGAUCAAUCUAGACUUAUUUACGAUCCUUCUUACAUACCAAAAACUUAUAAAUCUUUUACUCAUAUUCAACAGGAGCUCAUAUCAUAGUUUAUAUAUAUCAUUUAAAAUUUUAGUUGCUUAUAAAUUCAUUCCUUUUUACAUAACUGAAAUGUGUAAAUUUUGAUUGGUUUCAUUUUUUAUUAAAAUUUUAUUUUCAUUAUAUAUACACUUACAUCUAUAUUUUAUUUGUAGGUUGAAAUAAAUAUAAUCAACUCGAGAUAGAAAUGUAGAGAAAAAUGGAUAGUUUCGGUGACAAAACAGGUAACAAUAAGGUGAAAUCCUUUAAUAAAGAUCAGAUCAUAAUUUGGACCGAGUUAAAAACCAUUUUAUUUUUAUUUGAGACUAACUUAUGUGUUCAAUUUAAUCAGUCAAAAUUAUUUUUAUAUAUUCAAAAGAUUAAAAAUAAGUCUUUUCUAAUACUUAAUAAUAUUACUCCAACUACUCCUAAUAAAAGUAUCAUUUAAAUUUCAUGGUUUGUAGUAGAAAUAAUAUUAUUCCAACUCUUAAGUUUAUGUAUUUUUUUGUAAAGUAUUUAUGUUCAGACAUUUAUUUUUAAAACUUACUCAAGUAUGAAUAUAAAGUGUGCUAGAAAAUCUUUUACGUGUGAGAGAAAUAUUCAUAUCAAAUAUUUUUUUUUUAAAUUCAAUAAAUUCAUUUUUUGUUCUUGUCUAAUUUUAGGGUUUAGAGAAAUAAAGAUAUGAUUUUUUACUGACAUGAGCAAGAUUUUCAACUGUUGUGUUUUUUGUGAUAUUAACAAAAUUUUCUUGAUUUGUGCUAAGUUAAUAUACUAGUGAUAGAGAAAGGAUUAUAUGAAACUGUAAUUCUACGUCAUUCCUAUAGAUUUUCAAUAGGAGAAUGACAACUCAAAAUUUUAGUAUUUUUAGUUGAAUUUGAAUUUUUUGGGAGGAAAAAGCUAAAAAUCAAGAAAAAAAAUAUGUUUUUUUAUUCUCCUAUUAGAAGGUGGUAAGGAUGAUUUGGAAUCACAGUUUUAUAAAAUUUCUUCUCGCUAGUAAUAUAGAUGAUCUCAAUGCAACAAAAAUAACCUUGGUGUUUUAUGUUUGUCCCCUAGGCUUAAUAGAAGUACGAAAGUUUGGUCAAAGGAUCAUGCAAGUGAGGGACCAACAAAAGUCUUCAAGUUGAAAUGAAAGCGGACACUUUAGCAAUAAUUAGUUGUUUUUUUACAUGUAAUGUAAAUUAUAGUAUUUUAAAUCAACUUUUUGAAUUUGUUGCUUGUAUAAUGUAAAUUCAAAUAGUUAUUUAAUUGUAAUGUGAGUAAAACCUUUUAAAUUAGGCAUAAUGACAAAAAAGGUUCUUAGUGUUUAUAAAAUUUGACAAUUUAACCCUUAUUUUUUAAAGCAAUUAAGCUCUUAACAUUUUAUUUUGAGUCAAAUUAUGGAUUUUUUAAUGCAAAAUGCUUAUUGAACUGUUAAUAGUGUUGACUCGACAUGAAUAGUAAAUUCAUUCCUUUUUACAAAUUUUAGUCACUCAAUUCAUUCCUUUUUACAUAAAUGAAAUGUAUAUAUUUUGAUUGGUUUCACUUUUUUUUUUAAUUUUAAUUUUAUUGUAUAUAUAUAUUAACUUACAUCUAUAUUGGGAAGAUUAAAUAUAAGUCUUUUAUAGUACUUAAUUAAAUAGGUUUAAUUCGUUCUAAUAAAAGUGACAUUUAAAUUUCAUGGCUUGAAGUACAAAUAAUAGUAUGCCAACUCUUUAGUUUAUAUUGUUUAUAAAGUAUUUAUAUUUAAACAUUUAUUUUUAACACUUAUUCAAACAUGAAAAUAAAGUAUGCUCUUUUAAUUAAUUGGAAAAUCCUUUUUGUGUGUGAGACUUAUUCAACCCUUUUUUUUUUCUUUUAAUUCAAUAGAUUAAUUUUUUGUUCUUGUCUAAUUUCUUUUUUCUGUUCUUGUCAAUGGUUGUGUUUUCUGUAAUAUCAACAAAACUUUCUCAAUUUGAGGUAAUUAAGUUAAUAUACCAAUGAUAAUGAUGAUAUCAAUGCAACAAAAAUAAUCUUGGUGUUUUAUGUUUGUCCCCUAGACCGUUAGAAGCAUGGCUCAAAGGAUAAUGCAAGUAAGGAAUCGACAAAAGUCAAGUUGAAAUGGAAGUCAACACUUUCGCAUUUGGAUGAAUUUACAAAAUUACGAUUUAAAAAAAUAGAAUAUGUUAUUAUAUAAUUUGUUAUUUUUUACUUGUAAUGUAAUGUAAAUUAUACUAUUUUAAAUGGGGUUUUUGAAUUUUUUUUUGUAAAAUAUAAAUUUAAUUGUAAUGUUAAUAAAACCUUUUAAAUAGGUAUAAUGAAAAAAAAAUGUUCUUAGCAUUUAUAAGAUUUUAUUUUGAGUUAAAUUAUAAAUUUUUUAAUGCAAAAUGUUGAUUAAACCGUUGACGUGAUAUGAAUAGUGAACUCUUUUCAAGGUUGGUCUCAAUUGGAUCAUCUUUCACAAUAGCCUUAUUUUAGUUUAUUAUGUUUUCUCAUUUGUUUCUAAUUUAUGAUGGUCUUCAACUGCCCUUGUAUAAGUUGAAAUGCGGCCGAGAUGGGAUUGCAUGUGGGAUUCUUUGAUAGACUUUUUCAAUAGUCCUGGUCUACAAGCAAUGGUUGUUUUGAAUAAGUUGUUAUGCUUUCCAUUAUUUUAGGAGUUAGUUUUGCUUUUUACGUUAGUUGUAUAGCCUAUUUAAAGAGGCUAUUUGCUCCCUAAAGAAAAAUAAAUUUCCCAAAGUUAUUUUCUUUGAUCUGUUGCUCACACAACAGUGGUCAUAGAGCCAGGUUAAUUAGCGAUAAACAAUAGUUUUUCCCCUCCUUUAUUCAACAGAAAUGGCCUCUGAUAGUUCUGUGCAACCAUCAAUUCCUCGCUUCGAUGGUCACUACGAUCAUCGGAGUAUGUUGAUGGAAAAUUUUCUCAAAUCCAAGGAGUAUUGGCAAGUUGUCUGUAACACCCCUUACCCGCAUUCCUGAUCGGAACAGAGUAUGAGGUAUUACUAAAUUUUUAAAAAAAUUUCGACAGUAUUUCUGCUUAUUUUUGCUUAAACAAUUCAAUAUUCCAACCAAGUUCAGUUGUAUAAACAUACACAAUUUAACCAUUAAUAAACACUACAUUUUAAAUCAAACCAUAACAUAUAUUUACAUGGUGACACCACAUUACAUAAGUCGUCUAUACAUGCCAUAAUUUCCGGAAUACUAGUAGCAAAAUACCCAAACGUUGAUGAUAGUGUAGAUGAUUAUCUGACUCCGUCCCAAUUCCGAGUUGAUGGAAAUCACUAUAAUCAAGGGAAAAAUAAAAACGAGUAAGCAUAUAUCUUAGAAAGUAAACAUAUGACAAAUAAAUAAAUUUUCACAUGACUACACCAUAGUAUAAAUUUAGUCACAAAUAAAUUUCAUUGUUUGUGUAAUUUCCAGCAAGCUGGUUUUCUGCGUCAUGACCACUAAUUUAUUUUUAUCCGGAGAUACAGGGAUCCAAAUUGAAUUCCGUAAAUUUUUCCUGAAACUAGACUCAUAUAUCUUUCUAUAAUAAAAUUUUCAGAAUUUUUGGUUGGGCCAAUUAGUACAGUUUAUUCUUUAAAUCUUCCCCUGUUUCACUGCCCGACAGUCCUGACCUCCCCUUAUAAAAAUUCACAUAACUCUCUGUACAAGUUUAAAACAAUGUUCUCGUUUGUUUCUAUUAAAAAUAGACUCAAAAAGGAAUCCAGGCAUAUAGAUUUCAAGCCAUAAUUAUUUUUGUAUAAUUUUUUUGUGAUUUUCCAAAGUUGGAACAGGGGAUUUCGAAAUCAAUCCAGCCCUGUAUCAGUAAAAUUCAAAUAUCUCCGAAAAUACAACUCUUUUGCUUGCUCUAUUUCUUUCAUAUGAAAAUAUACUCAUUCAGCUUCAAUUUCAUAUAUUAUUUAACCUCUAAUUCAUUUUCCAUCAUUUAUGGUGAUUUUUCAAAGUUGCCCAACUGCUGCCAUUCAAAACAGUUUUGCAUUCAAAUUGUCUCUUUUUGUAUUUUUGAUUUUCCUCCCAUCUUAUACAUGGGUUGAUUAAGUAUCAAACCCAAUAUUCCUCCCAUAAACUUGUCCACCACAUAUAUGAAUAUUCACCUUCUCAAUUUACUCGUUGAACACUCGGAUUGUUAACCGUUAUCGGUGGAUUCCGCACUUAGCAACCACCAAUGAAUCGGGGAAUCAGCACACAGCAACCCCUUGGGGGAAUUAGCACUUAGCAACCACCAAAUGGGUCGGGGAGUCAGCACUUAGCAACCCCUCGGGGGAAUCAGCACUUAGCAACCCCCUUUCACAUUUAAAAUACGGUGGAAUCAGCACUUAGCAACCACCAAUAGGUAGGGGAAUCAGCACUUAGCAACCCCCUCUCACAUUUAAAAUACGGUGGAAUCAGCACUUAGCAACCACCAAUAAUUAGGGGAAUCAGCACUUAGCAACCCCCUUUCACAUUUAAAAUACAGUGGGAUCAGCACUUAGCAACCACCAAUGAAUCGGGGAAUCAGCACACAGCAACCCCUUUAUAUGCAAUAUGCUCCCGCCUAUUCCGAGUGUUCAACCAAAACCCGUGUUUUACCACACCUUACCACCUUUCCCAAUUUAACAACAUUUUUAGAAUUUUGCCAAACAUUUAUUCUAUGUUCAAUUAAAUCUCAACUUAUAUUGAACGAUAUCCAAAUAAUGCAUUAAAUCACGUGUUUACUUACCUCGGUGCAAAAUAUCGUAAUUUUGCACUUUACUCCACUAUCUUUUCUUUUCCUCGUUUGAGGUAGUCUUCUCGUCUUUCUUGAUUAUCGAGCUUGGAAGCUUGAAAACCCUAACUAUGGCUUCCCCCCUUGCUGAUUUCGUCCUAAUGAAGAAGAUGAGCAUAUUUUGCCAUCUUUUUCCCAUUUAAUUCUAUUUAAUUUCCAAAUGACUAAAAUGCCCUUAGUAAAAAAAAUCUAUUUCACUAAUUCUAUGCCCAUUUUUGUCCAUCAACUAACUAAUGGUCUAAUUACCACAUAAAGACCUCCAAUUUAAAAUUUCAUAACAAUUAGAUACCUCUAAGAUGUAGAACUCAACUUUUUCACUUUUUACAAUUUAGUCCUUUUGACUAAAUUGAGUGCCCAAACGUCAAAAUUUUCGAACGAAAUUUUUACGAAAAUUUUUCGUAAAAUUGUAGACCAUAAAAAUAUAAUAAUAACCAUAUUUUCCCUCGUCGAAUUUGUGGUCCCGAAACCACUAUUCCGACUAGGCCCAGAAUCGGGCUGUUACAUUGUCUCUAUGGGAAUUCCGGAGUUGGCAGCAGACUAGAAAUUGACGCCUUGAAAUUGAAAGAUCUUAAGGCAAAAAAUUAUCUUUUUCAAGCGAUUGAACGUUCAACCUUGGGGACCAUCCUUUGCAAAGAUACGUCAAAGGAUAUUUGAGAUUCGAUGAAAAAGAAAUUCCAGGGAUCAACUAGAGCAAGGAGGCAGCAGCUUCAGGCACUUCGCUCAGAGUUUGAACUUCAUCGGAUGUAAUCUAGGGAGACCAUUUCAAACUUCUUCUUAAGAACGAUGGUUAUUAUCAGCAAGAUGAGAACAUUUGGAGAGAAAUUAGAGGAUGUGGUUGUAGUCGAAAAAAUUCUUCGCUCAUUGACACCAAAGUUCAACUAAGUGGUAUGUUCCAUUGAGGAAUCAAAAGAUAUUGAUUUUUCAUCCAUUGAUGAAUUGCAAGGUUCUUUGCUGGUUCAUAAAAGAAAAUUGCAGCAGCAAGAUAAUGUAGAAUCAGCAUUAAAAAUUUCAUCAGAUCAUUUGGUUAAAGGCAAUGGAGGACGCAGAUCGAAUAGCCACAAUGACAAAAGUCGAGGCAGAGGUCAUAGCAGAGGUCGUGGUAGAGGAAACUAUGGCUAUCGACAGAAUUCAAGAAACCAAUCUUAGGAAAGAGGGAGAAGACAUGGCAGUUACCGCACAUAGUCAGCAGACAAAUCAAAUGUUGAGUGCCAUCGUUGUCACGAGUAUGAAUCAGAAUGCCGGACCACUUUCUUAGAUACAUAUGGGGAUGAAUCCAAUUUUAUUGGAAAAGAAGGUGAGCAAGAUGAAGAGAUAUUAUUGUUGAUGGUAUGUCAUGCAAAAGAACCUACCAACAAGCAUUUGUGGUAUUUAGACACCGGAUGCAGUAAUCACAUGAGUGGAGAUAAGUCAAUUUUUUUAACUUUUGAUGAAUCAUUCAAAGAUGGUGUGAAGUUUGGCAAUGAUAUGAAGAUCUCUGUGAUGGGUAAAAGACAGGUAACUAUUCUAAAUAAAAGGAAUGUUACUCAAAUCAUUUCUAAUGUUCUUUAUGUCCCGGAUUUAAAAACCAAUUUGUUAAGUAUUGGUUAGUUGCAAGAGAGGGGUUACGAAAUUAAAAUUAAAAAUGGGAUGUGUCGAGUUCAAGAUGGAAAAUUAGGAUUAAUUGCUCAAGUUGCAAUGACAGCAAAUCGGAUGUUUCUGAUCUACCUCAAUCAUUUUACUCAGUCAUGUUUUGCGGCAAACUUAUCUGAUCUAAUGCAGCUAUGGCAUUUUUGUUAUAGUCAUCUCAGUUUUGGAGGCUUACAAACGCUUCAGCAAAAAAACAUGGUAGCUGGCCUUCCACAAUUUUCUUGUCCUGCAUAUGUAUGCGAGGAAUGUGUGCUCAGUAAGCAACAUCGAGAACCAUUUCUAAAAGGAAAGAUUGAAAGAGCGAGAAACCUAUUGGAGAUAGUGCAUUCUGAUAUUUGUGGGCCAAUUAAUCCCAUUUCUAAUGGAGGUAAACGCUAUCUUAUCACCUUUAUAGAUGAUAUGAGUAGAAAAACAUGGGUUGAUUUUUUAUAGGAAAAAUCUGAAGCUUUAAUUACUUUUAAAAGAUAUAAAGCAUUUGUGGAAAAAGAAGAAGGUCAUUCUAUACAAGUAUUGCGGACUGAUCAUGGAGGAGAAUAUAAUUUGCAUGAAUUCACCUAAUUUUGUGAUGAGCAUGGAAUUAAAAGAAAAUUGACAGCAGCCUAUACACCUCAACAGAAUGGUGUAUCCGAAAGAAAGAAUCGAACCUUUUUCAACAUGGUGUGAAGUUUAUUACAGUGAAGCAGAGUUCCUAGGACAUUUUGGCCAGAAGCAGUCAACUAGAGCAUUCACAUUCUGAAUAGGAGUCCAACUUUUACUGUUCGUAAUAUGACACCGAAAGAAACAAUGAGCGAAAGAAGACCCGAUGUCAGUCAUUUCAGAAUCUUUGGGUGUAUUGCUUAUGCACAUGUCCCUGAUAAAAAAAGAACAAAGUUAGAAGACAAAGAAGAAACACCAACAGUUCAAAAGAAUGUUCCAGCAGAUUUUGAUGAAGAGCUACAUGUUGAGGAUAAUUUGGAGCCAUCACAUGAGCGUGAAACAAUUCAAAAACCUGAAACUGUAACAGAGCCAACGCCAUCACGUAUAAGAAGAAGGCCUACUUGGAUGAGGGAUUAUGAAGUCCCAAGAAUUGAUUAAUUUGAGGAUCCACUCACCUAUUUUAUUUUUUUUCAAAUUGUGAUCCUGUGUUUUUUGAAGAGGCGGUUAAACAAUCAAAAUGGAAGAGAGCAAUGGAUGAUGAAAUUGUAGCUAUUGAAAAAAAACAAAACUUGAGAGUUAAUUGAGCUUCCAAAGGGACAUAAAACCAUUGAUGUGAAGUGGGUUUAUAAGACGAAACUGAAGGAAACUGGUGAAGUUGACAAAUGCAAAGCAUGCUUGGUAGCGUAAGGUUAUAGUCAGGAGUUUGGCAUCGAUUACAAGGAGAUAUUCGCUCCAGUUGCUAGGCAUGACACAAUCAGAUUGGUGAUUACAUUGGCUGCUCAAAAUUCUUGGUCGGUUUUCUAACUAGAUGUCAAGUCGGCAUUCUUGCAUGGAGACUUGAAUGAACAUGUAUUUGUUAAACAACCUCCUGGCUAUAUUAAGAUUGGUGAAGAGCAUAAAGUAUAUAAAUUAAAAAAGGCUUUGUACGAACUCAAACAAGCCCCUCGAGCAUGGUAUAGUCGUAUUGCGACUUAUUUUCUCCAAAACGGUUUUAAAAAGUGUCCUUAUAAGCAUACUUUUUUUGUGAAAAUAGAAAAUGACGGGAAACAACUGUUGAUGGUUUGCUUAUAUGUCGAUGAUUUGAUAUUUACCGGGUAUGAUCAGGUUCUGUUUGAUAAGUUUAAAAAAUCCAUGAUGGUUGAAUUUGACAUGUCAGAUCUUGGAAGAUUGUAUUAUUUUUUGGGUAUAGAGGUUGCACAAUCAGAUAUAGGUAUUUUUAUUUCUCAAAGGAAGUAUGUGCAGGAGAUUCUAAAGAGGUUUCAAAUGGCGGACUGCAAUCCGGUUGGUACACCAGUAGAGACAAGUUUAAAGUUGGUGAAAGAUAAUAAUGGAAGAGAUGUCGAUAAUACUUUAUACAAAAAAAUCGUGGGAAGUCUAAUGUAUCUCACUGCGACCAGACUAGAUAUAACAUAUGUUGUAAAUCUUAUUUGCAAAUCUUAUUUGCAGAUUCAUGGAAUGUCCAAAGGAAAUGCAUCUUCAAGCAGUAAAAAGAAUCUUUAGAUAUUUGUAGGGUACAAUCGAUUACGGGAUCUUCUACAAGAAGGGAGAAAAUCAGCCUUGAUUGGGUUUACAGAUAGUGACUAUGCAAGAGACCAAGAUAAUAGGAAAAAUACAUCUAGUUACGUAUAUAUGUUCGGAACAGGAGCUGUUUCAUGGUCAUCACGAAAGCAACCAAUUGUCACUCUAUCAACAACUGAAGCAGAACUUGUAGCUGCAUCAACAUGUGUCUGCCAAGCCAUUGGGAUGAGAAAGCCUCUUGAGGAAGUACAUUUCAAGCAAAAGUGGCCUACUCUUAUCUACUGUGAUAAUAGCUCAACCACAAAGCUAUCCAAGAAUCCUAUUUUACAUGGGAGAAGCAAGAAUAUUGAUGUCCGAUAUCAUUUCUUGAGAGAUUGUGUGAAUAAUGAAGAGAUCAAUAUGAUAUAUUGCAAAAGUGAAUAUCAAAUCACAGAUAUAUUUACAAAAGCCCUCAAACUUGCAACAUUUCAAAAGCUACGACAAAUGCUUGGAGUUUGCAAGGCGACAAAUGCAGGAAGUUAGCAAGAUUUUUUAGUUUAAACUGAUAUUAGAGAUUAAUAUUAGUUUAAGGGAGGGUUUGUUAGACUUUUUCAAUAGUCCUGGUCUACAGGCAGUAGUUGUUUUGAAUAAGUUGUUAUGCUUUCCAUUAUUUUAGGAGUUAGUUUUGCUUUUUACGUUAAUUGUAUAGCCUAUUUAAAGAGCCUAUUUGCUCCCUGAAUUGAAAAUAAUUUAUUUUUCUUCCUAAAGUUAUUUUUUUAUUUGCUGCUCACACAACAUUCUCGAGGGAGGAGAUCGAAGGAGACUCAUUAUAUGUGAUUCGUAAGCUGCAAACAAAGGGAGUUGAAAGGUCAGUGAUAGGAGCCUAUAUCUCAAAUAGAGGGGUAUCAAAUCUGUGUCUUUAAACAUGUGCCAAAACAAGCAAACGGAGUUGCUCAUCUAUUGGCUACAGAGGGAUUAAAGAGAGAUGAAGAAACUUAUCUUGUUGGUGCGGUUCCUUCAUAAGCGAAAGUGGUAGUGGAAGAGGACCGUCAACAGUUGGGCUCACUUUGUCCAACAGGUUGAAGAUCCACUGCUUAGAAAGAAGAUAAAAUGGGAUUUUACUGUAGGCAAACAGAUGGAAGAACAGAUGGACUAUUGGGUUUAUCAGUUUUAACGGAGAAUAGAUCGGAUAUAUUAUUAACUUUAAAUUUAAUUAUUGAAUUGAGUUCAAGCUUGAACACAUAUGAAUUUAAUCGAAUUCAAGUUGAAUGUUAAAUAUGAAAAUUUAUUUUUACUUAUCCAAAAAGUAGAAUACUAAAAUUUCAGAGGGUGAAAUGUUUACAAAUAUCUAUAGUAUACAUUUGUAAUUACCCAUGCUAUAAAAAGUUCUUGUUGACUUGAUCACUCAGACUCACAUUAACCUCUAUCAGCCUCAUUCCCACUAACUCCUUUACUUUUCCCAAGUAAUAUAAAGUGUAAUAAAAAGUAGGUCUCUCAAUUGAGUGGGCUGAAUCUAUAUAGAUGUUAAUUCAAUUUAGAUUUGAGUUAUUUUCUAUUUGAGUUAAAUUUUUAUGUAAUAGUUCAAACUAAUUCGAAAUUAAAUCAUUUUAGAUAUGAAAUUUAAACAUUUUAGGUUUAAUUAUUAUGGGUUAUGAAAUUUAUAGAUGAUUAUGAAUUAUUUUGGGUUUGACGAAAAUAUUACAUAAAUGUCAUUCUUAGAAUUAACUUCAUGGUGAAUUGAAGGUCACAAUCUGGAUUUGUAAGGUUACAUUGGUAUUCUCCUCACCUAAUAUACUAAACAACUUACAGUGUAAAGAGUGUAUUUGAUGGUCACUAAACUAACUAUAAAUACAAUUAAGGCAAGCGCACCUAUCGAACAAUAGUAUAGUUAUAGUGAGUAGGGAAUAUCGUAUCCAUGAGGACUAAAAGUACUAGUAAUUACCUUUUUAUUAUUUAGCCGACAAAUUGGAGUGAUUGUUUUUAAUCUAAAAUUACUAAACUAAUCCAACUAAGAACGCAACAGAGAAUGAUAUAAGAAAAAUAAUCAAAGAUUACCAAUGAGAUAGACAGUACCCAGGAAAGAAUCCACCUAGACUUCACCUAUUAUUCUGAAUCUGAAUUAAAUAAUUUAUUCACUUGUGUCUUGAUCCAUAAAAAUCCCUAAAUUAUGUUAAUAUCUCUUUCAAGAGUAAGAACAACUGACUCUAGGUUGAUUAAUUGAAAUCUCUUUCUAAUUAAAACCCCUAUUGUCGCAUUAACUCGGUUUAUGGAUUCCACUAUUAGAUUUGACUCUAAUCUUGUAGAUUUAUGUCGUCCUAUUUCUAUGAUUGCAUGCAACUCCACUCAAUUAUGCUAAAUCUACUCUUAAACAUGAACUUUUUCUCCACUGAAAUAAGCACAUUAAACAUAAAUUAAUAUCCUAAAAAUAUUAAAACAUGAAAUAAGCAUACAUAAUUGAGAACAAGAAUCAAGUAUUUAUCGCGUAAAAACAGAAAUUAAAUAAUAAGAUUCAUCAUAGGUUUCAUCCUCCCUAGGUAUCUAGGGAAUUUAGUUUAUAAUCCUGAAUAAAAACAUCUCAGAGUUAGGAUAACAACAAGACAUAAAGAAACUCAAUAAAAUUUCGAGGGAAAUUAAAUGGAGAUCUUCAAUCUUGAGGAAGAUCCGCUUCUGAGUUGAUUUCGAUGGCGUUCUUUGAGUCUUUUCUUCAAUCUUCUCUGAGUGCCCCCUUAAGUCUUCUUCUAAUUGGUAUUUAUAGACUUUAGAAUGCUCAAAAUGCCUAAAAAUUGGGUUUUUCUGCGUAUUUGGGAAGUAGGGUGCGAUAUCGACACGGGCUGGAACAUGGGCGUGUGGUUAGCCCAUGUGGCUCACACGGGCAUGUGGCCAGCCCAUGUGAAAAUUCCCAGGCCAUGUGGAUCCUGGAAACAACUCUAUUUGUCUGAUUUUUUGCUCCCAAAUGCUUUCCUAAGUAUAGAAACAUGAAUUUAAAAGAUUAGGAGCAUCAAAUUCACUAAUUUACAUAAUUAAUUAUCCAAAAACACAUUAAGAAUGAGAUUAAAAUAUGUUACUUUUAUAGCUUAUCAGUAUUCAAAAUUAUAUUCUAAUUAAGAUACCCUUACCUAUCAACAUUCAGAAAGAUAGUCAAUGGAUUGGAGUUGCUUCUUGCUGUAUUUUUGACAAUGAUGCUUCAGGACAUUCUAUCGGUUGUGGAGGAUUUAUUUUUCAAGGUAGAAAUUGUCGAUAGCUUGGUUUGAGAUGCUCGUUCUUGGGCAAAGGAAUAAUGAAAGGUCACAUUUUGCUUCAUUAUUGGUCGCGUGAUAAACUAUAUCCAAUUUCCUUAGAGGAUAAAUAUGGUGACUAUGAAUUCAAUAAUUUAUUGUCAAUAGAUUGCUUAGAUCAAAAUUAAGAUAAGCCUGGGAUGUAUUUCAUAUAUGCAUAUGAUUGCAAUUUUGAGGUAAAUAAGUGUGGUGUUAGAAUAGUGUAUAAGUGUGUUGUUGAAAGCACUAAAAAUAAUCUAUCCUUAUAAUGAAAAGAAUAGUAUAAGGGAAGUAGGGUCAAAUCUUCAGGGACUGGAUUGCUACAACUUCUUAUUCCUCGAAAUCCUAGGCACAGUCGUGCCCGAGAAAAAGCAACGUACAUAAUCCUUCUCAUGACAGAAUAAGCCAGUUAGUUAUAGUGGAAGAGGAUGCCUAUGACCACCAGCUCCACUUAGAUUUUAGACUUACGAUUUAAAGGAACCUGACUCUAGCCAACCGUCACUUUCGUGGGACCAUCUUACACUAGAUCAUCGUUUCUCAAUGGCGAAUGCCACGCCAUUUCGUCUCUUGGGCUCGACAACCUCUGACGCAGUAAGUUAACAAACCGAUUGUGCAACCUUCCCAAAAUAUACAAAGCGGCUACCUUUGCACAAGAUAAAAAGAUCAAUUUUGGAAGGUCAUGGACGGAAGCGUCAGUCCCGUAAUACAGAGAAGCGAUGAAUACUCGUUGAGAAUGUUAAGUGCGGGUUCUAAGCCUCAUGAACCUUUUUUGAGGAAUCUCAACAACCUUUGGCUAGAUGAAUUUAGUGGCUCAUGCUUUUCGGGAAAAAGAAAUAAGUUUAAUGGAAUGGAAUUUUAUUGGGAAAUAAAAUAAAAAGAGCAAAAAGGCUAGAACCUUAGGGGAAAUGAGUGUUUUACAAGAAUUGAUGAGUGAAUAAUUAUGUCACUCCAUUCCCUAUUUAUAGUAAAUAGAAAACCUAAUUUGUUCCUAUUUAAACUCUAAAAGAUAAAUAAAGAUAAAAGUUGAAUUUAGAUCUAAAUAAUAAUCCUAAAUUUUUAAUUUAGAUUUAGGUAGCACUUCUCACAUAAAACGAAAACGUAACAUCUAUGAGGAAGCGAAGGAAGAAGGGCCCCAACCAAAACGGAUGCAAAAAAAUUUUAUUUUUAUAAUGAGCCAACUUUGUCCUAUUAGUUUUUUUACACAUCUAUGUAAACUUAUUUGCUUAUGAGAUAUAAUCCUUCUUAUAUAUAAAAAAAUUUUAAAUUUUUUAUUUAUACACAUAUUCAACAUGAGCUCAUAUUCUAUGCAUAUCCCAAAUGUUGAUAACAUAGUAUUUUUAGACCAUUUAAAAUUCUUCUUUAUGUUUAUGAUUUUUCUAUUUUUAAAAAAUUUAUGUAUUUUAAUAUUAUAUAAUUUUUUAAAUUAUGAUUGACUUUUUUGGGUAAACUACAAAUAUAGUCACUUUUGUUUCACUCAGAUUACAUUUUAGUCACUUAUGUUUGAAAUGUUAUGUUUUAGUCACUUGCGUAUCGUUUUGUUACAAAGUGGUCACUCUACCAUUAAGCUCCGUUACCUCCCUAACGGCAAUCCUACGUGGCAGUCCAAAUGGGUUUUAAAUGCCAACUUGGAUGUCUAAUUGGUACGACAAUAGGUUUUUAAUUAAAUAAAUUUAAUUAAUUAAAAAAUUUAAAUUAAUUACAUGUUGAACUGGAAAAAAAAAUCAUUCAUCUCUUUUUUCUUUUUAGUUUUCCUUUUCAUUUUAACUGAAAAAAUUAUUCUCAUCCUAGUUGGAAAUCCUAGUUGGAAAUCUAAGUUGUCAUUUAAAACCUAUUUGGGUUGCCAUGUAGGAUUGUCACUAGGGAGAUAACGGAACUUAACUGAAGAGUGACUACUUCGUAACAAAACGAUAACGUAAGUGGCUAAAACGUAGCAUUUCAAAUAUAAGUGACUAAAAUGUAAUUUGCGGCAAAUAAAAGUGACCAUUUUUAUAGUUUACUUUUUUUUGAAUUUUAGAGUUUAGGUUCAUUUUGUGAACUCUUUCUUGGAAUCUUCGUGGAGAGAACAUUUAUCAUCCCCCAAAUUCCACACCUACGAGCUUGAGGGCAAUGAGGUUGUUGUUUUGGGAGGUUCAAAGGUGAGGGGGAGCUGUUUGGGAUGGCGGUCGGUAAUGGAAGAUGAGAGUGAUGAAGCCCGGGUGUACUGGUGAUGUUGGUGGUGAAAAUGGGAGCCUCGAGUGAUAGAGAGAGAAUGGUGAAAAGGCCCCUGGGUUAGCUCAGAGAUGAAAUUUUCUGCUAUUGCUGCCUCAAAACACAGAAUUGCUAACCUACCCGGCUUGAAUUUUGUAGAUUGAUUUUAUUAACAGAAAUCAGUGGAGCAUGUUGUGUGUGCUUGCAGUGCAACAAAAGGAAUUGGCAUUUUGUGCUGCGGAAGAUACCUGUAGGUGCUGAGGCAGGUGUACUGGUGCAGAAGGGUGGCCAUUGACUGGCUACCACCUGUCCCAAGCUAUUAGAAACACAUUAGGAUCUGUUUGUAAAGUUAAUAAAAAUUUGGGGACUUUUAUUCAAAAUUUUAACUUUUGAUUUUCUUUUUCUAUUCUUCUUGUAUUUUUUUUUUUUUUUGUAAAAAGCAUAUGGUAAAAUGUUUUAUACAUAAAAAAAAACCUAAAUGAGUGAAAAGUCCAAAAUGUACUUAAAAAAAGAGAAAAGAGAAAAAUUGGCCAAAUCAAAUUUAGCUUAGUCCAAUCAACUUAAAAUUAUAUCAAAUUAGUAAGUUUAUGAUUUCAUAUUUUUUUCAACAUAUAACUCCAACACCAACAUUAAUUCGAAACAUUUAACAAGUUAGUGAAUUCUUGAAAUUUUAAGCUCAACAAUUAAAAUCGAAUUUAUCACAAAAUAAUUAGAUGUAUGUUAUAUAAGAAACUAGUUAAGCAUGUAAAACACAAUUACUUAAUACUUAAUAAUUAUAAUGUAAAACACUUGAAUUGUUACUUACAAUUAUUGUAGGCCCCAUUUUGUGGACUCUUUCUUGGAUUCUUCCUGGAAACAACAUCUAUCAUCCCCCAAUUUCCACACGUCCCCGCUUUCAUUUGGAAACAAAGGAAAUGUAUAGAAAAAUUGCUUAGGGAAAUUGGAUCUAUUUCUCUCCUUCAUGCUCAUAUACUAUACUAUAUUGAAAAUGUAUUAAAGAGAUUUGACAAGGAUUGUACAUUAGGUGAUGCUGAUAUCAUUAAAAGGGACAAGUUUAAUGUUCAUCAAUGCCUCAACAUUGGUUUUAAGAUUAAGGAAAUGGAAAAAAAUCACUAUGCUUAUUACUUAAUUAUAACUGUUCAUAUACUUAAUAAUAAUGGGUUUUAUAUGUGUAAAAAUAUUGCAUACAUCAUUAGGAUGUUGGGUAGAUAUUUGAGAAAUUUGAGUAAAACACAGACGGUCCUUAUUACUUAAUAAUAAUUAUAGGCUCCAUUUUGUCUACUCUAACCUUCUUGGAGUCUUUCCGGAAACAACAUCUAUAACCCCGAAUUUCCACACCUACUCCCUUUCAUUUCGAAAACUAAUGUUUUUAAUUAUUAUCUUUCGGAAACAACAUCCAUCGCUCAUCUUUGACCCCUAUUCUCAUAUACUUACUUUUUCCAGUUUGUUUGUGGGCAUUGGGCGAUCUAUUUUCUGAUUUUGAACACCAGAUUGAGAUAUCCUUCUCCUUUCAUACAUCCUCAUGUUGUCGUUCCCUUCAGCUUCUUCCUCCAUUUCUAAAAGGAAAUAUGAUGUUUUCUUGAGUUUUAGAGGUGAAGAUACUCGCAACAACUUCACGGGUCAUCUUUAUGAUGCUAUAACUAAUGGAAAAGUCAACAAUAUUAAUUAUAUGUCUAACUAAUAACAUUAUUAUAAAAAUAUAUGAUUAAAUUAGGUUAGAAAUUAAAUCUUAGGCAUAAUAAAAAAAUUAAAAUUGAAAUUCUAACAUUUUCUUAUAAUGUAAAAGAAAAUAAAAUCCUACACAUUAAAUUAAUAAAUUGUAUUCAUACAUAAAAUUUUAUGAUACUGAGUAGAUAUAAGUUAUUUUAGUCUGCACCUAAUGAACAUUUUAGAUGCUUCAAAUAGAACUUAAUCAUAUAAAAGGCAAAAUGUGAGGGACCGAAUUUAAAAUAACGCAUUGUCCUCCCUGGAUUCUUCCUUGAAAGAACAUGCGUCACCCAAAUGUCCACACCUACUCGUAUUCAUUUCGAAAAUGAAAAGGUUAUAGAGAACUUGCUUAGAAACAUCCUUUAUUCUUCCCUGGAAUUUUCAUCUGUUUUUCUCAAUCUUCACUCUCAUAUACUUAUUGUUUCUAGUUUCUUUCUGGCGUAUUGAGCGAUCAAUUUUCUUAUUUUGAACACUGCAUCCACAUAUAUAUUUUUCUUCUCAAACAUCGUCAUGUUGUCAUUACCUUCAACUUCCUCAUACAUUUCUAGAAAGAAAUAUGAUGUUUUCUUGAGUUUUAGAGGUGAAGAUACUCGCAAAAACUUCACCGAUCAUCUCUAUGCUGCUCUAAAGAGGAGUGGGAUAGUCACUUUCAGGGAUGAUAUAAAGCUGGAGGCCGGCGAAGAGAUCGCGCCAGAGCUCUUCAAAGCAAUUCAGCAAUCAUGGUGCUCGGUAAUCGUUUUUUCACAAACUUAUGCCUUUUCAAGUUGGUGCUUGGAGGAGCUUGCUGAGAUUGUUAAACAACAUAACAACGACGGCCAUAAAGUGUUUCCAAUUUUUUACGAUGUUGAUCCAUCUGAUUUAAGCAAACAAAAAGGGAAAGUGGAAGAAGCCUUUGCCAGACAUGAAGAGAGAUACAAAGAAGAAAGUGAGAAGAUCCAAAGGUGGCGAAAUGCUUUAAUUCAAGUGGCUGCAAUCAAGGGAUGGCAUUUAAAUAACCGGUAAUUCUUUCUUUUCUUCUCUAUUUUCUAGUGUUUUGGAUAUAUGUAUGUAUGUAUGUAUGUAUGUAUGUAUGUAUGUAUGUAUGUAUAACUGUUGAAACAAUUGCAGCAAGAGCAACACAAAACAGCAAGCAAAACAAUAGGAAUGAUGAUUUGAAAUAAUGUAACUGAAGGAAUUCAACUUCUUCUUUCAUUCAAAAUUGAAAUAUAUUGAAGUUACAAAAUUAACUUGACAGUUACCUAAACAUUUAACUACUCCCACUAUAAUUGACAAAUUUGUAACUUAAGCAAUACACAAAAACAAAGCUGAUAAUGUCAGCUAUUACAUCCAUCAUAUUCAAUCAAAAGAUUUACUAACUUUGAUGUCAAGUUACAAGCCAACUUGAUCAAGUUACAAAAGGACCAAAUAUAAACUAAACUGCUUCUGGUUCAGUCUCAAUGCUGGCAUGCUAGCUGAGCUGCUGCUGCUACUGCUGCUGGUCAUUUGUUGCAUUGCAGGCCAAUGCUUAACAAUAACUUCUUCUUCUUCUUUUUUCUAAUCCUAUGUGUUUAAUUGAAAAGUGUCAUAUUUCAAUAAAAGAGCAAAUUUUGUCUUCUGGCUCCGCAACACAUCUUGCUUUCUUAUUCUUGGUUCUUGUUUGCUUACAAACUAUAUUAUGUUUGAUGAUUCAUUGAAAAAGAAAGUGCAUUCGAAACAUAUCAACAAAAUUUUACUCAAAACAUUAAAAUUUCUUUUUUUUAGGCAUGAAUCAGAAUUUAUUAGAGACAUUGUUAAGAAGAUAUCAGCAAAACCAUGUCAGACAUAUCCAGUUACUCAUAGCGACUUGGUUGGUAUUAGUGAACGCUUGGAGGAUUUGUAUUUGAAAAUAAACAUUGGGGAAGAUGAUGUCCGCGUUAUAGGAAUUUGCGGAAUGGGUGGUAUCGGUAAAACGACACUCGCAAGAGUUGCUUACACUCAAAUGUCAUCUCAUUUUGAAGGUAAAAGCUUUAUUGCUGAUAUUCGAGAAGUUUCAGACAAAUGCGGACUAGUUUCUUUGCAGAAACAACUUCUUUCACAGAUCUUUCAUGGUGAAUGCUUCAACUUUUUCGAUGUUCAUGAAGGGAGUGACAUAAUUAGCCAUAGGUUGUCUCACAAAAAGGUUCUUGUUGUUCUUGAUAAUGUUGAUAACAUACAACACUUAAAAUGCUUGGUAGGAAGGCACGAUUGGUUCGAAUUAGGAAGUAGAAUCGUUGUAACAACAAGAGAAGAACAUUUGCUUCGGUCUUGGCCAGUUGAUGAUAUGUAUGAGCCCAAAACAUUGAAUCCCAAAGAUGCGCUUCAACUUUUCAGUCUGAAAGCUUUUCAUAGUGAUACAGUGCAGAAAGAUGAUUUCAUUGAGCUUUCUGAACAUGUUGUAAAUUAUGCUGGUGGACUCCCUUUAGCUCUUGAAGUUUUGGGUUCCUUUUUGUGCGGUAGAGAUGCGACUCAAUGGAGAAGUGCGAUUGAAAGACUUAAAAGAGAUUCUAAUAAAGAAAUUCUCAAUAAACUUCGAAUCAGUUUUGAUGGACUGGAAGAAAGAGAGAAGGAUAUAUUUUUAGAUAUAGCAUGCUUCUUCAAUGGGGAGAGGAAAGAUUUUGUAAUAAAAGUAUUAGAUGGUUGUGAGUUUUUUCCUGAUAUCGGAAUUGAUGUUCUCAUUAAAAAAUCUCUCGUAAAAGUCGAUAAAUACAACAGAUAUUUGAAGAUGCAUGAAUUGUUGCAAGAAAUGGGAAGAACAAUUGUUAAAGAAAAAUGUGUUGAUGAACCUGGAAAACGUUGCAGAUUGUGGGAGGAAAGAGACGUCCAUCAUGUCCUAACAAAAUACACUGUAAGUCAUUCAACAAAAGUUGCAUACUAUUUCUUUUUUAUCCUACAUUAUUCACCAUUUAUUUUAUUUUCUUAUUGUCUGUUGUUGAUCUUUUUUAGGCUACAGAAAUGAUUAAAGGCAUAAUCAUCGAUAAUAAAAUGUAAGAAGAUACACAUAAACUUAUAUCUAUGUGUACUGUAAAUAAUUAUUAUUUUUAAAUAUGAUAAAAAAAAUAUAGCAAAACUUUUGACAUUCAAUAUUUCAAUGUUUAAUUAUGAAAUUUAUCUAGCAACAUAUUUACUUUUUCAAAAGAAUCAAAAAAGAAAUGUAUGUAUUUUUGAAAUAUUAAUGGUAUAUUUUUUUGUGAAAAUUAAUGGUAUAUAUUUAAUGUACUAAAAGUUUAUAUCAACGAAUUAGAUUAUAACAUGUCAUCGAAAUUUUUUAAUGAAAAUAGUUUCAUUUUUAAUUAUGUGUCAUUGUUUGGUUCAUUAACUUGUAAAUUAUGCUUUGUUUGCGGACCGAAUAUAAAUCAACAUAUUAAUUCAAUUUUUUAGGAUUAGGUAAUUUAACAUCGGAUGGGAUUAUUAGAUAUAAGUAUCUCUUUAAUAUGGCUAUGUUAAAAAUAUAUAUUUAAAAAUUGUUUUUAUUCACAUAUUUAAAAGGUUCUUAAAGGAUCAUAUCUUAAUACCCAUAUACGAAUAUGCAUUAGAUAUAAGUAUUGGAUACGAGUACUUAAAAAACAAUAUUGAUGUAACAUUUCUUUUAGAUAUUGAAUGUUUUUGUAUAUUUUGAAGCUCAUUUUUGUUUUGCUCAUGGAUAUUAGGGAAUUGAACAAGAUACUCAAUUUGAGUGUGGAUACCUUCUUGAAGAUGAAAAAAUUGAGAUUGCUUAAAGUGCUUUGCCUUUCAAAUUGUGAUGAUGAUCUCAAAUAUCUUUCUAAUGACCUACGACUUUUAGAUUGGACAGGAUACCCUUUAAGAAACUUGCCUUCAAGCUUUCAACCGGACAACCUUGUCGCACUUCUUUUACCAUAUAGUCACAUUCAACAACUAUGGAAGGGAAAUAGAGUAAGAAUUAACUCAUCUUAUCCUUGUGUUUUAGCUUAUUUUAAUAUAAAUUAUUAAACUUUGAUUAAGGUAAAACAAAAAAAACAAAAAUGAGCAUUAUUAUGUUUUCUCAUUUGUUUCUAAUUUAUUAUGGUCUUCAACAGCCCUUGUUUAACUUGAAAAUAAUGAACCUCAGAGGGUCUCAAAACCUGAUCAAGACACCAGACUUCACAAUAGCAUCAAAUCUUGAGGUUUUGAUUUUGGAAGGUUGUACCAAAUUAGUGGAUGUUCAUCCAUCAAUCGGGGUGCUUAGGAGCCUUAAACUUUUGAAUUUAAGAGAUUGCAAAAGUCUUAGGACUCUUCCAACCAAAAUUGGAAUGGAAUCUCUUGAAACAUUAAUUUUUUCGGGUUGCUCAAAUCUUGUAAGGUUUCCGGAUGUUGAAGGGAAAAUGGAACGCCUAAAAACUCUAGAUCUUUCCGGUUGUUAUAGAGUGGAAAAUUUAUCGGAGAAUUUGCAGCAAGCAAAGUUUUUGGAAGAGCUCGACUUGAGUGAAACAGCCAUAACAGAACCACCAUCCUUCAUUUUUCAAUUUAAAAAUCUUAAAGUUCUGUCUUUCAAUGGGCGCAAGGGACCAUCAUAUAAGUUACUACCAAAUUUGCCUUCUCUUGUCAAGGUAAUCCAAGGAAGAAGGACGAAUCCCAUGGCUCGGAUGUUGCCUUUGUUGUCAGGUUUGAGUUCAUUAAGAGAGUUGAAUCUAAGGGACUGCAAUCUUUGUGAAGGAGAUAUUCCACGUGAUAUUUCUGGUCUAUCCUGUUUGGAAGAACUUGAUCUUAGUGGUAACAAUUUCAUCAGCAUACCUGCAUCUCUUACUCGACUCUCCAAGCUUAAAGAGCUUAUAUUGUCAAAUUGCAACAUGUGCACUCUUGGUGAAGCAGAUAUUCGUAGUGAUCUUUCUGGUCUAUACUCUUUGCUACGUCUUGAUCUUAGUGGUAAGAAUUUCAUCACCAUUCCUUUGGCUCUUACUCAACUUUCCAGGCUCAAAUUGCUUAAAUUGUCAGGUUGCAAGAUGCUUAAAUCAUUGCCUGAGCUACCAACAAGUAUAAGAUAUAUGAUAAUAGAUGAUUGUUCUUCACUUGAAGUAGUUGCAAGUCCAUCAAAAGUAUGCAAUUUAGCGGGUGGUGAUGAAAUUAGUGCCAUUAACUGAUUCAAAUUGGCUGAGAAAAUCAAUGCAUUAACACUGCUGAAAGAACAUAUUAAGGUCAAUUAAUCUAUUUUUUCUCCCUUAGAAAAUCUCAUACUUGAGAAUUUAUGGUUUUAGUUACCAAACGACUUGUGUUUAAUUUUGCAGGCGGUUCGAUAUCCAAGAGAUUGUUUUCAUAGUAGCAUCGUUGAUAUUAUGAUGCCCGGAAGUGAAAUCCCAGAAUGGUUUAGCCAACAAAAAAGUGACUCUUCAAUUAAGAUACCCCUACCUAUCAACCUUCGAAAAGAUAGUCAAUGGAUUGGAGUUGCUUGUUGCUGCAUUUUUGUCGAUAAUGGUGCUUCAAGGAAUAAGAUGCUUUACUGUGAUGGAUCUAUUUUUCGAGGUAGAAAUUGUCGACGAAUUUUUUGGAGCCUCGGGUGGGUAGGUCGAAGCUUUCACAAGCUCAUAAUGAAAGAUCACCUUUUUCUUCGUUAUUUUCUGCGUGAUGAAUUAUAUCCAAUUUCCUUGGAGGAUAAAUAUGGUGACUGUGAAACCAAUAAUUUAUGGACAGCAGAUUGCUUAGAUCAAACAGGCGAUGAGCUUCAGUUGUGUUUCAAUUCCAAAUUUGAACCAAAUGACGGUUGUGUUAAGGUGAAGAAGUGUGGUGUUAGAAUAGUGUAUGAGAAAGAUUUGGAAGAAAUGAAAGAGUUGCAGUGCCAUACCACUCAAUCUUCUCCAAAUUUUGAACACAUCCACCAACACUCUGCUCAAAACCAUGGAUCAGUAGGUAGCACUUCUCACAUGAAACGAAAACGUAAUAUCUCUGAGGAAACGGAGGAAGAAGAGCCGCAACCAAAACGGAUGCAAAAUUUUUUCAAUUUUGUAAUGGGCCAAUCAAGAGAGAAGCAUUAACUGUGGUAAACUACUUAACCAACUUUGUCCUAUUAAUUUUUUUUUUACACAUCUUGUAUUUCAUUUGAACAAUUAUUCUAGACUUGUUUUGCAUAUGCGAUAUGAUCCUUCCAUUAUAUGCCAAAACAUUUUAAAAUUUUAGCUACUUAAUUCAUUCCUUUUUACAUAUACCCGAAAUGUGUACAUUUUAAUUGGUUUCACUUUUUUUUUAUUAAAAUUAUAUUUCCAUUAUAUAUAUUCACUUACAUCUAUAUUUUAUGUGUAGAUUAAAAACGAAGCAACUUGAAACAAAAUUGUGAGACAAAAAUGAAGAUGAAGCAAGUAAUAAUAAAGUGAGAAUCAUUUAAUAAGGAUUGAUCAUAAUUUCAGCUGAGUUAAAAAUUAUUUUAUUUUUAUUGGAGAUCAACUUAUGUAUUCAAUUUAAUCAAUCAAAACUGUUUUUAUAUAUUUAGAAGAUUAAUUAUAAAUCGUUAAUAGUACUUAAAUAGAUUUAAUUCCUUCUAAUAAAGUAUCAUUUAAAUUUGAUGGCUUGAAGUACAAAUAACAUUAUUCCAACUCUUCAGUUUAUAUUUUUUUACACAUCUAUGUAAACUUAUUUGCUUAUGAGAUAUAAUCCUUCUUAUAUAUAAAAAUUUUUUAAAUUUUUUAUUUAUACACAUAUUCAACAUGAGCUCAUAUUCUAUGCAUAUCCUAAAUGUUGAUAACAUAGUAUUUUUAGACCAUUUAAAAUUCUUCUUUAUGUUUAUGAUUUUUCUAUUUUUAAAAAAUUUAUGUAUUUUAAUAUUAUAUAAUUUUUUAAAUUAUGAUUGGCUUUUUUUGGGUAAACUACAAAUAUAGUCACUUUUGUUUCACUCAGAUUACAUUUUAGUCACUUAUGUUUGAAAUGUUAUGUUUUAGUCACUUGCGUAUCGUUUUGUUACAAAGUGGUCACUCUACCAUUAAGCUCUAUUACCUCCCUAACGGCAAUCCUACGUGGCAGUCCAAAUGGGUUUUAAAUGCCAACUUGGAUGUCUAAUUGGUACAACAAUAGGUUUUUAAUUAAAUAAAUUUAAUUAAUUAAAAAUUUUAAAUUAAUUACAUGUUGAACUGGAAAAGAAAAAUCAUUCAUCUCUUUUUUCUUUUUAGUUUUCCUUUUCAUUUUAACUGAAAAAAUUAUUCUCAUCCUAGUUGGAAAUCCAAGUUGUCAUUUGAAACCCAUUUGGAUUGCCACGUAGGAUUGUCACUAGGGAGAUAACGGAACUUAACUGAAGAGUGACUACUUCGUAACAAAACGAUAAUGUAAGUGGCUAAAACGUAGCAUUUCAAACAUAAAUGACUAAAAUGUAAUUUGCGGCAAAUAAAAGUGACUAUUUUUAUAGUUUACUUUUUUUUGAAUUUUAGAGUUUAGGUUCAUUUGUGAACUCUUUCUUGGAAUCUUCGUGGAGAGAACAUUUAUCAUCCCCCAAUUUCCACACCUACGAGCUUGAGGGCAAUGAGGUUGUUGUUUUGGGAGGUUCAAAGGUGAGGGGGAGCUGUUUGGGAUGGCGGUCGGUAAUAGAAGAUGAGAGUGAUGAAGCCGGGGUGUGUUGGUGAUGUUGGUGGUGAAGAUGGGAGCCUCGAGUGAUAGAGAGAGAAUGGUGAAAAGGCCCCUGGGUUAGCUCAGAGAUGAAAUUUUCUGCUAUUGUUGCCUCCAAACACAGAAUUGCUAACCUACCCGGCUUGAAUUUUGUAGAUUGAUUUUAUUAACAGAAAUCAGUGGAGCAUGUUGUGUGUGCUUGCAGUGCAACAAAAGGAAUUGGCAUUUUGUGCUGCGGAAGAUACCUGUAGGUGCUGAGGUAGGUGUACUGGUGCAGAAGGGUGGCCAUUGACUGGCUACCACUGUCCCAAGAUAUUAGGAACACAUUAGGAUCUGUUUGUAAAGUUAAUAAAAAUUUGGGGACUUUUAUUCAAAAUUUUAACUCUUGAAUUAUUACUUACAAUUAUUGUAGGCUCCACUUUGUGGACUCUUUCUUGGAUUCUUCAUUGAGACAACAUCUGUCAUCCCCCAAUUUCCACACGUGCAUGCUUUCAUUUGGAAACAAAGGAAAUGUAUAGAAAAAUUGCUUAGGGAAAUUGGAUCUAGUUCUCUCCUUCAUGCUCAUAUACUAUACUAUAUUGAAAAUAUAUUAAAGAGAUUUGACAAGGAUUGUACAUUAGGUGGUGCUUAUAUCAUUAAAAGGGACAAGUUUAAUGCUCAUCAAUGCCUCAAAAUUGGUUUUAAGAUUAAGGAAAUGGAAAAAAUCACUAUGCUUAUUACUUAAUAAUAAUUGGUUUUAUAUGUGUAAAAAUAUUGCAUAUAUAACCCCGAAUUUCCACACCUACUCCCUUUCAUUUUGUCUACUCUCACCUUCUUGGAGUCUUUCCGGAAACAUCUAUAACCCCGAAUUUCCACACCUAGUCCCUUUCAUUUCGAAAAGUAAUGUUUUUAAUUAUUAUCUUUCAUUGUUAAGUUCAUAAAAUACAAACCGUCCAACAUUUUUAACUCUCACCUUCAUGAAAAGAACAUAUCACCCGGCCCUCUUCUAUUUUUCAUAUGUUUUUCCUCAUAUAUUCAUUAUUUUCUGAUUUUGAACACCAGAUUGAAAUAUCUUCUCCUUUCAUACAUCCUCAUGUUGUCGUUACCUUCAACUUCUUCCUCCAUUUCUAGAAAAAAAUACGAUGUUUUCUUGAGUUUCAGAGGUGAAGAUACCCGCAGCAACUUUACCGAUCAUCUCUAUGAUGCUCUAAGUAGGAGUGGGAUCGUCACUUUCAGAGAUGAUCCAAAGCUGGAGGCCGGCGAAGAGAUCG
rnacentral:lncRNA from 1 species